rnacentral:lncRNA from 1 species
CCUCAGUUCUUUACUAGUAAAUUCCGCACACACAAACACACACUUGGACAUAUAAACGCACGAAUAAAUAUACACAUAAUUAUGGCUGAGAAGGCAGGGGAUUUGGGCAGUGACAAGGGAAAAGGUGGAAGCAGUGCUGAUGAGAAAAGGUCAGGCUUCCCAAAGAAAGAUGGAAGUUUGAUUCCCAAGCCUAGGGAGUGUGUUUCGACCAAAGUGCUUAAGAAAGUUGGGGGAUCACUUGCUGACUAUGUUAAAUCGGACGACAAAAACAGCAAGAUCAAGCCUAGCAAUGGGGAAAAUGCGACAUCAGAUUGACUGAUGAUCAGCUUCCAGCAGCAUAUAGAUGCUGAAAUAUUGCUUGUUUGCAUCGUAAAUUAUUGCUCUUUUUUUGGGGUUGAGUUGUAGUACUACUACUUUUAAGGUGUGCUUCAAGUCCCUUGCCCCAUCUCUGUUUCUUAAAUUU